rnacentral:sRNA from 1 species
CUGCUGUAAGAUGAGCUCAGCGCGGCUGUGCAGGGCUCGGCUGGGGGUGCUUCUCUUCCCUGUCUUUCAGUGGCCCCCAGCCUGCCUGUGCCCCAGCACUUGGCCCUACCUGUUGUGCGGACCUCGGGGGACACCCAGAGGUUGUUCUUAGACUCCUUUAGGAAAACUCAGCAUCACAGGGAACUGCAGUUCCCGGAGCCAGUGCGCACGUAGAGGUGCCGUGAGCCUGAGCCUGACAUUGGCCGACGGGGAGAGGGGAUUCAGCACCUUCUGAGGAGUUGACCAGGCACCGGCUGUUGGAUGGGAUCACCAGAAGCUGGAGAGAGAGGCUCGGAUCUGCCGCCUUCUGAAGCAUUCCAACAUCGUGCGUCUCCACGACAGCAUCUCCGAGGAGGGCUUCCACUACCUGGUCUUCGAUCUGGUCACUGGUGGGGAGCUCUUUGAAGACAUUGUGGCGAGAGAGUACUACAGCGAGGCUGAUGCCAGUCACUGUAUCCAGCAGAUCCUGGAGGCCGUUCUCCAUUGUCACCAAAUGGGGGUCGUCCACAGAGACCUCAAG